CGCGCCGGGAGCCCGGAGCUGGCGGCCUGCAAAGAGGCGCCGCCUCGGCGUGGCGCGGCCGAGUCACCUGGGCGACCGAGGGAAGCUGCGGCUGAGAAGGGCCGGGUGUCCGCCGGGGAGAAGGCUGCUCAGUUCCUCUAAGGAAAAUAUUCCGUCGCUCAAGUUGCUGCCUUGUAGCCAAGCCAUUGUUCUCCAACAAGAAUGAACUCCAA